rnacentral:rRNA from 1 species
UACGUAGGGUGCGAGCGUUGUCCGGAUUUAUUGGGCGUAAAGAGCUCGUAGGCGGUCUGUCGCGUCGGAUGUGAAAACCCAGGGCUCAACCCUGGGCCUGCAUCCGAUACGGGCAGACUAGAGUACGGCAGGGGAGACUGGAAUUCCUGGUGUAGCGGUGAAAUGCGCAGAUAUCAGGAGGAACACCGGUGGCGAAGGCGGGUCUCUGGGCCGAAACUGACGCUGAGGAGCGAAAGCGUGGGGAGCGAACAGG